GAUGAACGCUGGCGGCGUGCCUAAUACAUGCAAGUCGAGCGAACAGACGAGGAGCUUGCUCCUCUGACGUUAGCGGCGGACGGGUGAGUAACACGUGGAUAACCUACCUAUAAGACUGGGAUAACUUCGGGAAACCGGAGCUAAUACCGGAUAAUAUAUUGAACCGCAUGGUUCAAUAGUGAAAGACGGUUUUGCUGUCACUUAUAGAUGGAUCCGCGCCGCAUUAGCUAGUUGGUAAGGUAACGGCUUACCAAGGCAACGAUGCGUAGCCGACCUGAGAGGGUGAUCGGCCAAACUGGAACUGAGACACGGUCCAGACUCCUAAGGGAGGCAGCAGUAGGGAAUCUUCCGCAAUGGGCGAAAGCCUGACGGAGCAACGCCGCGUGAGUGAUGAAGGUCUUCGGAUCGUAAAACUCUGUUAUUAGGGAAGAACAAAUGUGUAAGUAACUAUGCGCGUCUUGACGGUACCUAAUCAGAAAGCCACGGCUAACUACGUG
rnacentral:rRNA from 1 species